rnacentral:rRNA from 1 species
CGUAUAACAGAGAGAAGCGAAACCGAGAGGUCAAGCAAAACCCAAAAAAGUAAGUCACAGUUCGGAUUGAAGGCUGAAAUUCGCCUUCAUGAAGCCGGAAUUGCUAGUAAUGGCAGGUCAGAAUACUGCCGUGAAUACGUUCCCGGGCCUUGUACACACCGCCCGUCACACCAUGAGAGUUGGGAAUACCCGAAGCCCGUGAGCUAACCGAAAGGGAGCAGCGGUCGAAGGUAGAAUCAAUGAUUGGGGUGAAGUCGUAACAAGGUAUC